GCCCCGGUAAACGGCGGCCGUAACUAUAACGGUCCUAAGGUAGCGAAAUUCCUUGUCGGGUAAGUUCCGACCUGCACGAAUGGCGUAAUGAUGGCCAGGCUGUCUCCACCCGAGACUCAGUGAAAUUGAACUCGCUGUGAAGAUGCAGUGUACCCGCGGCAAGACGGAAAGACCCCGUGAACCUUUACUAUAGCUUGACACUGAACAUUGAGCCUUGAUGUGUAGGAUAGGUGGGAGGCUUUGAAGUGUGGACGCCAGUCUGCAUGGAGCCGACCUUGAAAUACCACCCUUUAAUGUUUGAUGUUCUAACGUUGGCCCGUAAUCCGGGUUGCGGACAGUGUCUGGUGGGUAGUUUGACUGGGGCGGUCUCCUCCUAAAGAGUAACGGAGGAGCACGAAGGUUGGCUAAUCCUGGUCGGACAUCAGGAGGUUAGUGCAAUGGCAUAAGCCAGCUUGACUGCGAGCGUGACGGCGCGAGCAGGUGCGAAAGCAGGUCAUAGUGAUCCGGUGGUUCUGAAUGGAAGGGCCAUCGCUCAACGGAUAAAAGGUACUCCGGGGAUAACAGGCUGAUACCGCCCAAGAGUUCAUAUCGACGGCGGUGUUUGGCACCUCGAUGUCGGCUCAUCACAUCCUGGGGCUGAAGUAGGUCCCAAGGGUAUGGCUGUUCGCCAUUUAAAGUGGUACGCGAGCUGGGUUUAGAACGUCGUGAGACAGUUCGGUCCCUAUCUGCCGUGGGC
rnacentral:rRNA from 1 species